rnacentral:rRNA from 1 species
CCUACGUGAGGCAGCAGUGAGGAAUAUUGGUCAAUGGUCGGGAGACUGAACCAGCCAAGCCGCGUGAGGGAUGAAGGUACAGAGUAUCGUAAACCUCUUUUGUCAGGGAACAAAGGCGGGGACGUGUCCCCGGAUGAGUGUACCUGAAGAAAAAGCAUCGGCUAACUCCGUGCCAGCAGCCGCGGUAAUACGUAGGGAGCAAGCGUUGUCCGGAAUUACUGGGCGUAAAGGGCGCGUAGGUGGGUGCUUAAGUCAGGUGUGAAAACUCUGGGCUCAACCUGGAGACUGCACUUGAAACUGGGUAUCUGGAGGGCAGGAGAGGAAAGUGGAAUUCCUAGUGUAGCGGUGAAAUGCGUAGAUAUUAGGAGGAACACCAGUGGCGAAGGCGACUUUCUGGACUGUACCUGACGCUGAGGCGCGAAAGCGUGGGUAGCGAACGGGAUUAGAUACCCGUGUAGUC